rnacentral:rRNA from 1 species
GAUGAACGCUGGCGGCGUGCCUAAUACAUGCAAGUCGAGCGAACAGACGAGGAGCUUGCUCCUCUGACGUUAGCGGCGGACGGGUGAGUAACACGUGGAUAACCUACCUAUAAGACUGGGAUAACUUCGGGAAACCGGAGCUAAUACCGGAUAAUAUAUUGAACCGCAUGGUUCAAUAGUGAAAGACGGUUUUGCUGUCACUUAUAGAUGGAUCCGCGCCGCAUUAGCUAGUUGGUAAAGUAACGGCUUACCAAGGCGACGAUGCGUAGCCGACCUGAGCGGGUGAUCGACCACACGGGAACUGAGACACGGUCCAAACUCCUACGGGAGGCAGCAGUAGGGAAUCUUCCGCAAUGGGCGAAAGCCUGACGGAGCAACGCCGCGUGAGUGAUGAAGGUCUUCGGAUCGUAAAACUCUGUUAUUAGGGAAGAACAAAUGUGUAAGUAACUAUGCACGUCUUGACGGUACCUAAUCAGAAAGCCACGGCUAACUACGUG